UGUUUCCUGACGAUAUUGAAACCAUCAAACCUUUCUCAUGGUGAUCUGCGAGCAUCUAAUUGGUAAAGAGGUCAUCAUGAUUACUGGGACAGGUUGUUGGUGUGUGACUCUCCUGCUUCUCCUGCACAGAGCAGACUCUGAAAGGUUUGAGGUUCUUGGUCCGACUCGUGCCAUUGUUGCUGUGGCUGGUGAUGACAUCAUUCUGCCCUGUUAUAUCAAACCCAACAUCAGCGCUGAGGACAUGAGAGUUGACUGGUUCAGAGUCAACCUCCCAGACCCUCAGUCAAACAUUCGAGUCCAUCUCUACCAAGAUGGCAGAGACAAAUACCAUGAUCAGAUCAGCUCCUAUGAGGGAAGGACAUCAUUGUUUAAAGAGGAACUGAAGAAGGGCAACACCUCUUUGAAACUGACCAGGGUACAAGGCACUGAUGAUGGACAUUACAAAUGUCGUGUUCAGUCUAAGAUCUAUUAUGAUGAUGCCACCAUUCAAGUCUACAUAACAGCUAUAGGAUCCAAGCCAGAGGUUUCCAUUGAGGGACAGAAAGAAGGAGGGAUGGGUCUGCUGUGUGUAUCUAAAGGCUGGUUCCCUGAGCCUGAGUUGGAGUGGUUGGACAGUGAAGGGGUCACUCUGUCUGCUGGACCUUCAGAGACAGACAGGGACUAUGAGGGAUUCUACAUAGUCAAACUAAAGCCCAUCGUAAAGGAGACUGUCAUCAACUGCUUUACCUGCAGACUGAGACAGAGACAGCUCAGUGAGCAGAUCAUCAUGGAGACAGAGUUUCACAUCUCUAGUGAGCUGAUCCUUGUUCAUGAAGAGGCAUGGAGAAUAGCCUUCACACUGAGUGUCUUUGUGGGCAUUGUUGCCAUAUUAGCUUUCCCUAUUUGGCAGUGGAAUGGUUUGCGCAAUGACUAUGGUAAUAGAAAACUGAUUUAAUCUUUUUUUGACUGAAUGUAUUUACAUUCAGUGCAGUUUACAGAGUGACAUACACAAGGACUUGGGUACUAGAACCGAAAGGUUGCCAGUUCGUAUCCCCGAGCCGACAAGAUGUAUCCAAAGUUAAACACAUUCAAGAGCUAGAGCAAGUUAAAAAUGAACACAGUCUUCAGUUGAAGAUACUUGCUGAUCAGCUGGAUUUUGUCAAGUCCAGAACUUGAAACCAUCAGAAGACAUUUAGGUCAGUGUGGAAUACUCUCCAGUCCAUCCACCUAGAGUUUUACAUGGACACUAAUAUCUUCACAUACUGUGGAUGUGACUCUAGAUCCUGAUACAGCACAUCCUAAACUCAUCCUGUCUGAAGACAGGAAACAAGUUAUAUUUGGAGAUGUAUGGCAGCAUCUCCCUGAUAACCCAGAGAGGUUUGAUACUUGUGUCAGUGUCCUGGGAAAGGAGGGUUUCUCCUCAGGGCGAUUCUACUAUGAGGUUCAGGUGAAGGGGAAGACAAGUUGGACUAUAGGAGUGGUCAGAGAGUCCAUCAACAGGAAAGGGAAGAUUAUAGUGAGCCCAGAGAAUGGAUACAGGACACUGUGGCUGAGAAAUGGAGAGUACAAGGCUCUCUCUGGCCCCUCUGUCACCCUCUCCCCGAGAGAGAAGCCCCAGAAGGUGGGGGUGUUUGUUGAUUAUGAGGAGUGUCAGGUCUCCUUCUAUAAUGUCUCAUAGGCCAAGUCUCAUAUCUACUCUUUCACUGGCUACACCUUCCAUAAGAAACUUUAUCCAUAUUUUGGCCCCUGUCUUAUUGACGGAGGUAAAAACUCAGCCCCACUGAUCAUCACUCCUGUAGAUCACUGACUGACUGACUUUCAUAUCAAACAUUGAAAUACUGUUAACAUUUGUGUGUGUGCAUGUCAGACUACCAAACUUGUGUGUGGGUGUGGAUAAGUGUGUGUGUGCGUAUAUGUGUGCGUGUGCAAGCAUAUGUGAGUUUGCGUACAUGCGUGUUUGUCUGCAAGUGCAUGAGUGUGUUACUCACAGUUUGAAUUCAUUAUAGCAUACCAAAAGAGAGGGAAUUGUAUAAUUUCUACUGAAUGUCAUCCUAUGGUUUCCAUGUUGUCUCCAUAUAGCCUUAUUAUACAGUAUGUAAGCCUAAUGUAUUCACAUAUUCUGAACAUCUGUCUGGUCAUAUUAAACCUAUUUGAACUUAAUCGGCUUCAUUCAAACUUGAAAUAAAAUCUAAAUCAAA